rnacentral:ncRNA from 1 species
UCUAGGGGUGGCCCGUGGGGCCUGAGAACAUACCCUCGAACCUGAUCUGGGUAAUGCCAGCGUAGGAACGACGCGA